AUGUCAAUCCUUGAUCGCCGACCAGUAUGUGUUUCAAAUAUCAUGCGUUGUUUUUCAUGUAUAUCACAAAAGAUAUAUAUUUGCUUAUAAGUUUUUAGGGAUGUGCAUGAUAAUUUGUGCCAGUCUCUAUAUUCAUGUGAUCUAUGUGACUCAGAUUGAUGUGUGAACAAGGGACAACCAUAUCUGGGAUUAGAAGUCCUUCUUCUGUUAAAUUCCGUUGAGAAAGGGUUGUAUUAUAAGAAGAUACAAAAUGUUCUACUCUGUUGGUGUACUAAAUGUUUUGUAAUUUCAAUUGGCUUUUGCUCUUAUCAGAUAGAAUCUGCUCUUCCAACUCUG
rnacentral:misc_RNA from 1 species